rnacentral:rRNA from 1 species
ACGGAGGGUGCAAGCGUUGUCCGGAAUAAUUGGGCGUAAAGAGUUCGUAGGUGGUAUGUUAAGUCUGGUGUUAAAUCCCGAAGCUCAACUUCGGUCCGGCACCGGAUACUGGCAAACUUGAAUGCGGUAGAGGUAAAGGGAAUUCCUGGUGUAGCGGUGAAAUGCGUAGAUAUUAGGAGGAACACCGGUGGCGAAGGCGCUUUACUGGGCCGCAAUUGACGCUGAGGAACGAAAGCCGGGGUAGCAAAUGG